CAGAGAGUUGAUCAUGGCUCAGGAUGAACGCUAGCUACAGGCUUAACACAUGCAAGUCGAGGGGUAGCAGGGUAGCAAUACCGCUGACGACCGGCGCACGGGUGAGUAACACGUAUCCAACCUUCCCAUAACUCAGGGAUAGCCUUUCGAAAGAAAGAUUAAUACCUGAUAGUACUUUUUCAAGGCAUCUUGAGAAAGUUAAAGAUUUAUUGGUUAUGGAUGGGGAUGCGUUCCAUUAGAUAGUUGGUGAGGUAACGGCUCACCAAGUCUUCGAUGGAUAGGGGUUCUGAGAGGAAGGUCCCCCACAUUGGUACUGAGACACGGACCAAACUCCUACGGGAGGCAGCAGUGAGGAAUAUUGGUCAAUGGGCGAGAGCCUGAACCAGCCAAGUAGCGUGAAGGAUGAAGGUCCUAUGGAUUGUAAACUUCUUUUAUAGUAGAAUAAAGUGAUCCACGUGUGGAUUUUUGUAUGUAUACUAUGAAUAAGGAUCGGCUAACUCCGUGCCAGCAGCCGC
rnacentral:rRNA from 1 species